rnacentral:rRNA from 1 species
UACGGGGGGGGCAAGCGUUGUUCGGAAUUACUGGGCGUAAAGGGCUCGUAUGUGGCCAACUAAGUCAGACGUGAAAUCCCUCGGCUUAACCGGGGAACUGCGUCUGAUACUGGAUGGCUUGAGUUCGGGAGAGGGAUGCGGAAUUCCAGGUGUAGCGGUGAAAUGCGUAGAUAUCUGGAGGAACACCGGUGGCGAAGGCGGCAUCCUGGACCGACACUGACACUGAGGAGCGAAAGCCAGGGGAGCAAACGGG